UGAAAAAACAUUCACAUUUUAUACAAACCCGAUUCCAAAAAAGUUAGGACACUACAAAUUGUGAAUAAAAAAGGAAUGCAAUGAAGUUGAAGUUGGAAGUUUCAAAUUUCAAUGUUUUAUUCAGCAUACAACAUAGAUGACAUAUCAAAUGUUUAAACUGAGAAAAUGUAUCAUUUUAAGGGAAAAAUAAGUUGAUUUUAAAUUUUAUGGCAUCAACACAUCUCAAAAAAGUUGGGACAAGGCCAUGUUUACCACUGUGUGGCAUCCCCUCUUCUUUUUAUAACAGUCUGCAAACGUCUGGGGACUGAGGGGACGAGUUGCUCAAGUUUAGGAAUAGGAAUGUUGUCCCAUUCUUGUCUAAUACAGGCUUCUAGUUGCUCAACUGUCUUAGGUCUUCUUUGUCGCAUCUUCCUCUUUAUGAUGCGCCAAAUGUUUUCUAUGGGUAAAAGAUCUGGACUGCAGGCUGGCCAUUUCAGUACCCGGAUCCUUCUUCUACGCAGCCAUGAUGUUGUAAUUGAUGCAGUAUGUGGUCUGGCAUUGUCAUGUUGGAAAAUGCAAGGUCUUCCCUGAAAGAGACGACAUCUGGAUGGGAGCAUAUGUUGUUCUAGAACUUGGAUAUACCUUUCAGCAUUGAUGGUGCCUUUCCAGAUGCGUAAGCUGCCCAUGCCACACGCACUCAUGCAACCCCAUACCAUCAGAGAUGCAGGCUUCUGAACUGAGCGCUGAUAACAACUUGGGUUGUCCUUGUCCUCUUUAGUCCGGAUGACAUGGCGUCCCAGUUUUCCAAAAAGAACUUCAAAUUUUGAUUCGUCUGACCACAGAACAGUUUUCCACUUUGCCACAGUCCAUUUUAAAUGAGCCUUGGCUCAGAGAAAACGCCUGCGCUUCUGGAUCAUGUUUAGAUAUGGCUUCUUUUUUGACCUAUAGAGUUUUAGCCGGCAACGGCGAAUGGCACGGUGGAUUGUGUUCACCGACAAUGUCUUCUGGAAGUAUUCCUGAGCCCAUGUUGUGAUUUCCAUUACAGUAGCAUUCCUGUAUGUGAUGCAGUGCCGUCUAAGGGCCCAAAGAUCACGGGCAUCCAGUAUGGUUUUCUGGCCUUGACCCUUACGCACAGAGAUUGUUCCAGAUUCUCUGAAUCUUUGGAUGAUAUUAUGCACUGUAGAUGAUGAUAACUUCAAACUCUUUGCAAUUUUUCUCUGAGAAACUCCUUUCUAAUAUUGCUCCACUAUUUUUCGCCGCAGCAUUGGGGGAAUUGGUGAUCCUCUGCCCAUCUUGACUUCUGAGAGACACUGCCACUCUGAGAGGCUCUUUUUAUACCCAGUCAUGUUGCCAAUUGACCUAAUAAGUUGCAAAUUGGUCCUCCAGCUGUUCAUUAUAUGUACAUUUAACUUUGCCGGCCUCUUAUUGCUACCUGUCCCAACUUUUUUGGAAUGUGUAGCUCUCAUGAAAUCCAAAAUGAGCCAAUAUUUGGCAUGAUAUUUCAAAAUGUCUCACUUUCAACAUUUGAUAUGUUAUCUAUAUUCUAUUGUGAAUAAAAUAUGAGAUUUGUAAAUGAUUGCAUUCCUUUUUUAUUCACAAUUUGUACAGUGUCCCAACUUUUUUGGAAUCGGGUUUGUAUUUUUGAUCAGAUAAAUGAAGCCUUGAUGAGCAGAAGAGACUUCCAUUAAAAACAUUUUACCAACCAGAUUUUUUUAACAGCAGUAAAAAUAAUUAAUAAAAUCUGACACAUUUUAGCAAA